rnacentral:rRNA from 1 species
GGAUGAACGCUAGCUACAGGCUUAACACAUGCAAGUCGAGGGGCAGCAUUUUAGUUUGCUUGCAAACUGAAGAUGGCGACCGGCGCACGGGUGAGUAUCACGUAUCCAACCUGCCGAUAACUCCGGAAUAGCCUUUCGAAAGAAAGAUUAAUACCGGAUAGCAUACGAAUAUCGCAUGAUAUUUUUAUUAAAGAAUUUCGGUUAUCGAUGGGGAUGCGUUCCAUUAGUUUGUUGGCGGGGUAACGGCCCACCAAGACAACGAUGGAUAGGGGUUCUGAGAGGAAGGUCCCCCACAUUGGAACUGAGACACGGUCCAAACUCCUACGGGAGGCAGCAGUGAGGAAUAUUGGUCAAUGGGCGAGAGCCUGAACCAGCCAAGUAGCGUGAAGGAUGAAGGCUCUAUGGGUCGUAAACUUCUUUUAUAUGGGAAUAAAGUUUUCCACGUGUGGAAUUUUGUAUGUACCAUAUGAAUAAGGAUCGGCUAACUCCGUGCCAGCAGCCGCGGUAAUACGGAGGAUCCGAGCGUUAUCCGGAUUUAUUGGGUUUAAAGGGAGCGUAGGUGGAUUGUUAAGUCAGUUGUGAAAGUUUGCGGCUCAACCGUAAAAUUGCAGUUGAAACUGGCAGUCUUGAGUACAGUAGAGGUGGGCGGAAUUCGUGGUGUAGCGGUGAAAUGCUUAGAUAUCACGAAGAACUCCGAUUGCGAAGGCAGCUCACUAGACUGUCACUGACACUGAUGCUCGAAAGUGUGGGUAUCAAACAGGAUUAGAUACCCUGGUAGUCCACACAGUAAACGAUGAAUACUCGCUGUUUGCGAUAUACAGUAAGCGGCCAAGCGAAAGCAUUAAGUAUUCCACCUGGGGAGUACGCCGGCAACGGUGAAACUCAAAGGAAUUGACGGGGGCCCGCACAAGCGGAGGAACAUGUGGUUUAAUUCGAUGAUACGCGAGGAACCUUACCCGGGCUUAAAUUGCAACAGAAUAUAUUGGAAACAGUAUAGCCGUAAGGCUGUUGUGAAGGUGCUGCAUGGUUGUCGUCAGCUCGUGCCGUGAGGUGUCGGCUUAAGUGCCAUAACGAGCGCAACCCUUAUCUUUAGUUACUAACAGGUGAUGCUGAGGACUCUAGAGAGACUGCCGUCGUAAGAUGUGAGGAAGGUGGGGAUGACGUCAAAUCAGCACGGCCCUUACGUCCGGGGCUACACACGUGUUACAAUGGGGGGUGCAGAAGGCGGCUACCUGGUGACAGGAUGCUAAUCCCAAAAACCUCUCUCAGUUCGGAUCGAAGUCUGCAACCCGACUUCGUGAAGCUGGAUUCGCUAGUAAUCGCGCAUCAGCCAUGGCGCGGUGAAUACGUUCCCGGGCCUUGUACACACCGCCCGUCAAGCCAUGAAAGCCGGGGGUACCUGAAGUACGUAACCGCAAGGAGCGUCCUAGGGUAAAACUGGU